AACGCACAUUGCGCCCCUUAGUAUUCUGGGGGGCAUGCCUGUUCGAGCGUCAUUUCAACCCUCAAGCAUAGCUUAGUCUUGGGCCCUGCCAGCAACGGCUGGCCUUAAAAACAGUGGUGGCGCCAUCAAGCUCUACGCGUAGUAAUUAUACCCUCGCGUGUGAGUCCCAGUAGAUGCUGGCUAGCAACCCCCAAUUUUCUAUAGUUGACCUCGAAUCAGGUAGGGAUACCCGCUGAACUUAA
rnacentral:misc_RNA from 1 species